rnacentral:lncRNA from 1 species
GGCACUGGCUGUGUUUAACGGACGGUGGCGGUAUUGCAGUUGUUCUUACAGUGGACAAGCUUCGGAUUCUCGCGCUGUGCCCUGGCUCCUCUGGUUGCGUCACUACAUAUAACCUGCGGUGGGCGAGCGUGCAAGCGACGAGAACACAGAACCAGAACGCACUGGAAGCUGGCUCGGCGACCACGGCCGGGUGCGCUUGCUGAAGCUUUGGCAGCCUUGUCAGCUGAAGAGGAUAUGGACGCGAAAGAGUAGCAGCUGCACUUUUGGCACGUGGAAGCAGACAGAGCAGCCUUCACUUACAUCAAAGGCAGUCUCAAGGGGGUGAUGAAACUUGGUGCCUAUGUCACGCUACUCGACACCGAGGACAAGCUGGCGCUAGCCCGAGCAGUAUGUGGGGGAGAGGUUCGCCGGCGUGCCAAGCGCAUCACGAGUCUACGCUAUGAAGUCGCAUGUAGUAAGUUGGAUCCUGACCUCCUGUUGUCUGAAACCUUGUUCUCCUGUUAAACACUUCAUGUGUCAACGCCAGUGACAAACAUUGGAGAAAUACAAGCUUCAAUGAUAUGCUGGAGAUGUUCGCCUGGCUGAGUCUAACAUGUGUGACUUGCAUGCACGCUCGUCUGUAGAAAACAUGGGUGCUAAUUGUCGUCAGUGAAAGCAACCAGCACAAAGCUUCGAUUACGUCGAUUCCCACAGUGCAUGCGAUCUGCAUAACUUUUUUGUUACAUGUUGUUCUUGUCACAGUAAGGUCUUUGUUCGUAAUUAAAUAUUUGUUCCUUUAAGGUACCACUGUGUAGUGGAACCAUGAUAUUGUGAACACUGA